AGUCCCUUAACUUAAUGACCCAUCUCUUUUGGAAGCAAACCCUCGUGGUCUCGAUAAACCUCCACCAAGCUAUCAUAUAGAAGAAACACAUUGGAAAGAAUUUGUCAAGAGAAGGACAUCCAAAGAGUUUCAAGAUUUUAGAAAAUUACAACAAGAAAGACGUAAUCAUUUACAAUACCCUCAUAGGACUUCACGCCAUAGCUAUACUGAAUUGGAAGCUGAUUUACAAGCUAAGUGGGGCACAACAGAGCAAAUAGAUCGAUCUAUACUCUGGAAGGAGGCCAGAAAAGAUUCUUCUGGCAACUAUGUCAUCGAGCGUGACAAGGUCAAGGGAGAGGCCAUCGAAGACAUGCUUGAGCAAAGAAAAGAGGGCAAACUGAUUGAAAUCGGAACAAAUGACAUCCUAACACAAGUGUUAGGUACUGCUGAGCACCCCGGUCGAGUUCGAGGCCAGAGUCGAGGUGUCACACAAAGAGACUACUUUCAUAAGCCUGUUGGGGGGGGGGGGGGGAUCUAAGAGGCUUGCAGAAAAAACAAAUUGAGUUCGAACGACAAUCCAACAUACGACAUAGGGAAGAGAUUGAAAAGUUGAAAGAAUCUUUCAUGUCCAAGCUUGAAGAAUUAUCAACCAAGAUGGCACAUAUGCAAGCUAACUUUGAUAGUCAUUCUAGCUUUGGAAGCCAUUCUAGAGUCAAUACAAUAGAAGUUGAGGCCCCAAUUGACACUGCUCCAGAAGUUGAGGCACCAAUGGACACUACUCCAGAUGUUGAGGCACCAAUUGACACUACUCC